GGUGAGAUCCGGAACCAUCUUCGACAACUUCCUCAUUACGGACGACGAAGAGUAUGCCGAGAACUUUGGCAAGGCCACCUGGGGUCAAACCAAGGGUCCAGAAAGGGAGAUGGACGCCGUCCAGACCAGGGAGGAGGUGAAGAAGGCCCGCGAGGAGGAUGAGGAGGAACUGCUGGCGAGGAGGGCCAAGGGGCAGGGGAGCCACUUUAGCUGGUUCCCCGGGCGGAACGAGCUGUAGCCAUUCCCACCAGAGAUAAAGGCGAUCGGUAAAGGCCACACUCACGUUUGUCUGUGUUUAACCUGCACGUGUCUUUGGGGUCAUGUGUCUCCUUUCCUCUGAACAGCGUUGUCGUGCUUCUGGGUGGUUGGUCCAUGUCCCUGAUGACCCUGGGCACGGAGACGUUUCCCCCUGACGAUGCUGACCCUGGAAGCCAGAGGCCAGCAAGUCUGGCCAGAAACAUGACACUCUUUUCCCAACCCCCAACAUGUUUUUCUAUUUUUAUAAGAGAGAAGUUGGUAAAACUUACUUUGAAAAAGAA